GUGCUCACUUUGGCAGCACAUACACUAAAAUUGGAACAAUAAAGAAAAGAUCAGCAUGGCCCCUACACAAGAAUGACACAAAAAUUCAUGAAGCGUUCCAUAUUAUU